rnacentral:tRNA from 1 species
AAAGUUUUAGUUAAAUAAUAACAUAAAAUUGUCAAUUUUAAAUUAUAGGAAACUAUAUUCUUUA